UGGGGAAUUUUGGACAAUGGGGGAAACCCUGAUCCAGCCAUCCCGCGUGUGCGAUGAAGGCCUUCGGGUUGUAAAGCACUUUUGGCAGGAAAGAAACGUCGCGGGUUAAUACCCCGCGAAACUGACGGUACCUGCAGAAUAAGCACCGGCUAACUACGUGCCAGCAGCCGCGGUAAUACGUAGGGUACAAGCGUUAAUCGGAAUUACUGGGCGUAAAGCGUGCGCAGGCGGUUCGGAAAGAAAGAUGUGAAAUCCCAGAGCUUAACUUUGGAACUGCAUUUUUAACUACCGGGCUAGAGUGUGUCAGAGGGAGGUGGAAUUCCGCGUGUAGCAGUGAAAUGCGUAGAUAUGCGGAGGAACACCGAUGGCGAAGGCAGCCUCCUGGGAUAACACUGACGCUCAUGCACGAAAGCGUGGGGAGCAAACAGGAUUAGAUACCCUGGUAGUCCACGCCCUAAACGAUGUCAACUAGCUGUUGGGGCCUUCGGGCCUUGGUAGCGCAGCUAACGCGUGAAGUUGACCGCCUGGGGAGUACGGUC
rnacentral:rRNA from 1 species